rnacentral:rRNA from 1 species
CAAUACGGGAGCGGCAGACGGGUGAGUAACACGUGGGAACAUGCCCUUCGGUUCGGAAUAACUCAGGGAAACUUGAGCUAAUACCGGAUACGCCCUUACGGGGAAAGAUUUAUCGCCGAAGGAUUGGCCCGCGUCCGAUUAGCUAGUUGGUGAGGUAACGGCUCACCAAGGCGACGAUCGGUAGCUGGUCUGAGAGGAUGAUCAGCCACACUGGGACUGAGACACGGCCCAG